GGCGCAAGUCGCUUGCCGCGAGGAAAGUCCGGGCUACGCAGGGCGCGAUGCUCGCUAACGGCGAGGCGGGGCGACCCGACGGAAAGUGCAACAGAAAGAUACCGCCGUAAUACACCGGAGCGGUGGUUAUACACCUUAACGGUAGUUACGGUAAGGGUGAAAUGGUGCGGUAAGAGCGCACCGGGGGCGUGGUGACACGUCCGCCCGGAAAACCCCAUCGGUAGCAAGGUCAAGGGGAGAAAUGAGGUUGCCCGCCGAUCUUCCCGGUAGACCGCAUAAGAAGCGUGGCAACACGGUUCGUAGAUAGAUGACCACACAGACACAGAACCCGGCUUACAGACCCGCUUCAAAC
rnacentral:RNase_P_RNA from 1 species